GAACUUUUUCCCUACCCAAGCUAUAAAGGGGCCAACCUGCUACUCUUGAGACCACUGAUUCCAGUCCUUUCAUUUUACAGAUGAGGAAACUGAGGCAUAUAGCAGGCAAGUAGUUUGCCCAGAUACUGUCUCUGAAAUAAGGCUUCUAGCUGGAGUUUCCUGGUUCCUAACCUCCUAAUCUGGCUACUCUUGCACUGAAGCUACUAAGAGUCAUCAAAGUCCAGCAGCAAGAUAAAAGUCAAGAUGAUUGGCAAUGUCCCAGGAUACAGUGGGUAACCUUGGCAUCUUCAAUGUCUAACAAAGCCUUCAUGGCCAUUGGAACUAAUUAUUC
rnacentral:lncRNA from 1 species